UACGGAGGGUGCAACCGUUGCUCGGAAUCAUUGGGCGUAAAGCGCACGUAGGCGGUCCGCUAAGUCGGGUGUGAAAUCCCUCGGCUCAACCGAGGAAGUGCAUUCGAAACUGACGGACUUGAGUAUGGAAGAGGGUCGUGGAAUUCCCGGUGUAGAGGUGAGAUUCGUAGAUAUCGGGAGGAACACCAGUGGCGAAGGCGGCGACCUGGGCCAAUACUGACGCUGAGGUGCGAAAGCGUGGGGAGCAAACAGG
rnacentral:rRNA from 1 species